rnacentral:tRNA from 1 species
GAGGGCGCCAUAAGACCUGCUAACUCUUUAAUCUGGAACUAACAUACCAGCUCCCUCU